rnacentral:tRNA from 1 species
GAGGGUAUAGCUCAGUGGUAGAGUGCGUGCUUAGCAUGCGCAAGGUCCUGGGUUCAAUCCCCAGUACCUCCA